AAAAAAACUACAAAGGAAGGAGACUCAAGGGCAGCAAGCACAUCCUUAACCCGCCUCCCGGAGAGGAACUGAGGCCAUCCUAGGGCAGAAAUACAAAAUAGAGCACUAGAUUCGCUAACGCGGUAGUUCCAGUAACUUUGAAUGAAUAAAUGACUGGAAGUUAUUGUUUGGGGGAAGCUUGAGGAAAGCUUGCCAUUUGCCAAGCAUUAAUCCCAUCAUUGGGGAUAUUCAAGCAGAGAAUGGAAGGAACCCUUGUGCUCUUCUUCCCCACGCACACACGUGUGCAAUCUGAGCUUCUCACAGAAGUGGACUGACAAACAUCCAUUACGCAGAAAAUCUUUUCUUUAGAGGUGUCUGGUCCACAGUAAAAGAGUGGUUAGUUAUUUCACUUUGGCGAUGAAGUUCAAAGACAUUUGGCCCUAAUCUGACAUAAGAAAUUAAUGAUUCAGCACCUGGUUCUUCGGCGGCUCUAGACAGCAUCUCCAAACUGCCCUUGAAGAAGGUUAGAGUCCAUGACGGCAAGACAGAAGCAACAGGCAGCAGGCAUGGUGGCAAGAGAAGGCGGUUGAGAGCUAAUUUCUCCAACUGCACACUGGAAGCAGAAAAUGACCUGGAAGUAACGAAGCUUUCUACUCUCAAUGCCAACCCAGUAACAUACUUCCUCCAGCUAAGCCACACCUCCUAAACCCACCCAGUGCCCACAACUGGAGACCAAGGGCUCACACGCCUCAGACUGUGGGAGGUGCUUCUCAUUCAAAUCACCACACUCUUGAAUUUCAAAUUAAA
rnacentral:lncRNA from 1 species